UACAGAGGUCUCAAGCGUUGUUCGGAUUCAUUGGGCGUAAAGGGUGUGUAGGUGGCGCCGUAAGUCGGGUGUGAAAUUUCGGAGCUUAACUCCGAAACUGCAUUCGAUACUGCGGUGCUUGAGGACUGGAGAGGAGACUGGAAUUCCUGGUGUAGCGGUGAAAUGCGCAGAUAUCAAGUGGAACACCAGUGGCGAAGGCGAGUCUCUGGACAUUUCCUGACGCUGAGGCACGAAAGCCAGGGGGAGCAAAACGGGGA
rnacentral:rRNA from 1 species